rnacentral:rRNA from 1 species
GCAAGUCGAACGAAGCCUUCGGGCUUAGUGGCGAACGGGUGAGUAACGCGUGGGAACCUGCCCCGAAGUGGGGAACAACCGCUGGAAACGGCGGCUAAUACCGCAUACGCCCUUAGGGGGAAAGCUUUAUGCGCUUUGGGAGGGUCCCGCGUCCGAUUAGCUAGUUGGAGGGGUAAUGGCCCACCAAGGCGACGAUCGGUAGCUGGUCUGAGAGGAUGAUC